AAACCCAAUCCUAUUGGGAUUGUCGUAUACUAAAUUCAUAGGUAUGCGAAGCAAACCUGGGGAACUGAAACAUCUAAGUACCCAGAGGAAAAGAAAUCAAUCGAGAUUCCGUUAGUAGCGGCGAGCGAACGUGGAAGAGCCCAGUUGCUAACUUACUAUUUUUUCUAGCAGAAUGUUCUGGAAAGUUCAGCCAUAGCGGGUGAUAGUCCCGUAUGUAAAAGAUGAAUUAGUAGGGGUGACAAUGAGUAGGUCGGGACACGUGUAAUCCUGACUGAAGAUGGGGGGACCAUCCUCCAAGGCUAAAUACUACUUACUGACCGAUAGUGAACUAGUACCGUGAGGGAAAGGUGAAAAGAACCCCGAUGAGGGGAGUGAAAUAGAACCUGAAACCGUAUGCGUACAAGCAGUCGGAGCAUCUCUUUAGAGAGAUGUGACGGCGUACCUUUUGUAUAAUGGGUCAGCGACUUACUUGUUGUAGCGAGCUUAACCGUUUAGGGGAGGCGUAGAGAAAUCGAGUCUGAAAUGGGCGUUUUAGUUGCAAC
rnacentral:rRNA from 1 species